AGUGAACGCUGGCGGUAGGCCUAACACAUGCAAGUCGAACGGCAGCACAGUAAGAGCUUGCUCUUACGGGUGGCGAGUGGCGGACGGGUGAGGAAUACAUCGGAAUCUACUUUUUCGUGGGGGAUAACGUAGGGAAACUUACGCUAAUACCGCAUACGACCUACGGGUGAAAGCAGGGGAUCUUCGGACCUUGCGCGAUUGAAUGAGCCGAUGUCGGAUUAGCUAGUUGGCGGGGUAAAGGCCCACCAAGGCGACGAUCCGUAGCUGGUCUGAGAGGAUGAUCGGCCACACUGGAACUGAGACACGGUCCAGACUCCUGCGGGAGGCAGCAGUGGGGAAUAUUGGACAGUGGGCGCAAGCCUGGUCCAGCCAUACCACGUGGGUGAAGAAGGCCUUCGGGUUGUAAAGCCCUUUUGUUGGGAAAGAAAAGCAGCAGGUUAAUACCCCGCUGUUCUGACGGUACCCAAAGAAUAAGCACCGGCUAACUUCGUG
rnacentral:rRNA from 1 species